rnacentral:rRNA from 1 species
CAGUGCGGGGAUGCCUACACAUGCAAGUCGAACGAGAAAGUGGAGCAAUCCAUGAGUACAGUGGCGACCGGGUGCACUUCACGUGACCAACCUGCCCUCGAGUGGGGAAUAACUCCGGGAAACCGGAGCUAAUACCGCAUAACAUCGCAAGAUCAAAGCCGCAAGGCGCUUGAGGAGGGGGUCGCGGCUGAUUAGCUAGUUGGUAGGGUAAUGGCCUACCAAGGCGAAGAUCGGUAGCCGGCCUGAGAGGGCGCACGGCCACACUGGAACUGAAACACGGUCCAGACUCCUACGGGAGGCAGCAGUGGGGAAUUUUGCGCAAUGGGGGAAACCCUGACGCAGCAACGCCGCGUGGAGGAUGAAGUCCCUUGGGACGUAAACUCCUUUCGACCGGGACGAUACUGACGGUACCGGAAGAAG